rnacentral:rRNA from 1 species
UUGGAGGGCAAGUCUGGUGCCAGCACCCGCGGUAAUUCCGGCUCUAGUAGCGUAUAUUAAAGUUGUUGCAGUUAAAAAGCUCGUAGUCUGACUUCGGGCUGGGCUGUGAAGGCUCACCGCAAGGUGGGACGGAUAGCCUGGCCUUACCCUCUGAUGUGCUCUCUGCUCUUAACUGAGUGGAUCUGUCGCACAGAGGCGUUUACCUUGAGCAAAUUGAGGUGUUCAAGGCAGGCAUAAUCGCUCGUACACGUUAGCAUGGGAUAAUGAAAUAGGGCCUUGGGUUCGCUGUUGCCGGUUGGUGAGCCCGGGCAAUGAUCAACAGGGGCGGUCGGGGUGCUUCAUAUGCAGGCGCUAGAGGUGAAAUUCUUGGACCGUCUGCAGAUGCCCAGAUGCGAAAGCGUUGCACCAGUACGUCCCCAUUGAUCAAGAACGAAAGUUAAGGGAGCGAAGACGAUCAGAUACCGUCGUAGUCUUAACCCUAAACGAUACCGACCAGGGAUCGAGGAUAGUCCCAUGGUUGACUCCUUCGGCGCCUUACGGGAAAC